rnacentral:rRNA from 1 species
GACGAACGCUGGCGGCGUGCUUAACACAUGCAAGUCGAACGGAAAGGCCCUGCUUUUGUGGGGUGCUCGAGUGGCGAACGGGUGAGUAACACGUGAGUAACCUGCCCUUGACUUUGGGAUAACUUCAGGAAACUGGGGCUCAUACCGGAUAGGAGCUCCUGCUGCAUGGUGGGGGUUGGAAAGUUUCGGCGGUUGGGGAUGGACUCGCGGCUUAUCAGCUUGUUGGUGUGGUAGUGGCUUACCAAGGCUUUGACGGGUAGCCGGCCUGGGCGGGUGACAGGCCACAUUGGGACUGAGAUACGGCCCAGCCUCCUCCGGGAGGCAGCAGUGGGGAAUAUUGCACAAUGGGCUGAAGCCUGAUGCAGCAACGCCGCGUGCGGUAUGACGGCCUUCGGGUUGUAUUCCGCUUUCGCCUGUGACGAAGCGUGAGUGACGGUAAUGGGUAAAGAAGCACCGGCUAACUACGUG